GAGACAAAGGUAUUGCCUCAGUAGCGGCGAGUGAAGCGGCAAGAGCUCAGAUUUGAAAUCGUGCUUUGCGGCACGAGUUGUAGAUUGCAGGUUGGAGUCUGUGUGGAAGGCGGUGUCCAAGUCCCUUGGAACAGGGCGCCCAGGAGGGUGAGAGCCCCGUGGGAUGCCGGCGGAAGCAGUGAGGCCCUUCUGACGAGUCGAGUUGUUUGGGAAU
rnacentral:rRNA from 1 species